rnacentral:rRNA from 1 species
GAGGGGCAGCAUUUCAUUUUGCUUGACAAAGUGAAGAUGGCGAGCGGCGCACGGGUGAGUAACACGUAUCCAACCUGCCGAUAACUCGGGGAUAGCCUUUCGAAAGAAAGAUUAAUAUCCGAUAGCAUAUCAAUCCCGCAUGAGAUUGAUAUUAAAGAAUUUCGGUUAUCGAUGGGGAUGCGUUCCAUUAGUUUGUUGGCGGGGUAACGGCCCACCAAGACUACGAUGGAUAGGGGUUCUGAGAGGAAGGUCCCCCACAUUGGAACUGAGACACGGUCCAAACUCCUACGGGAGGCAGCAGUGAGGAAUAUUGGUCAAUGGACGUAAGUCUGAACCAGCCAAGUAGCGUGAAGGAUGACUGCCCUAUGGGUUGUAAACUUCUUUUAUAUGGGAAUAAAGUAUUCCACGUGUGGGAUUUUGUAUGUACCAUAUGAAUAAGGAUCGGCUAACUCCGUGCCAGCAGCCGCGGUAAUACGGAGGAUCCGAGCGUUAUCCGGAUUUAUUGGGUUUAAAGGGAGCGUAGGUGGAUUGUUAAGUCAGUUGUGAAAGUUUGCGGCUCAACCGUAAAAUUGCAGUUGAAACUGGCAGUCUUGAGUACAGUAGAGGUGGGCGGAAUUCGUGGUGUAGCGGUGAAAAUGCUUAGAUAUCACGAAGACUCCGAUUGCGAAGGCAGCUCACUAGACU